rnacentral:rRNA from 1 species
UACGACGGGGGCUAGCGUUGUUCGGAAUCACUGGGCGUAAAGGGCGCGUAGGCGGCUAGCUAAGUCGGGGGUGGAAGCCUGUGGCUCAACCACAGAAUUGCCUUCGAUACUGUCUGGCUUGAGACCGGAAGAGGUUAGUGGAACUGCGAGUGUAGAGGUGAAAUUCGUAGAUAUUCGCAAGAACACCAGUGGCGAAGGCGGCUGACUGGUCCGGUACUGACGCUGAGGUGCGAAAGCGUGGGGAGCAAACAGG